rnacentral:rRNA from 1 species
CAAUAGCGUAUAUUAAAGUUGUUGCAGUUAAAAAGCUCGUAGUUGGAUUUCUGGUAGGAGUGACCGUGCCAGACUUGAUUGUCUGUGUAUUGUGUUGUCUCCAGCCAUCCUUGUGGAGAACUUUUCUUGCAUUAAUUUGUAGGGAUUGGGACCCGCAUCGUUUACUGUGAAAAAAUUAGAGUGUUUAAAGCAGGCAAUCGCUUGAAUACAUUAGCAUGGAAUAAUAAGAUAGGACUUUGGUACUAUUUUGUUGGUUUGUAUACCAAAUUAAUGAUCAACAGGAACAGUUUGAGGAUAUUCGUAUGAACAUGUCAGAGGUGAAAUUCUUGGAAUUUGAUCAGACGAACUACUGCGAAAGCAUUUAUCAAGGAUGUUUUCAUUAA